rnacentral:rRNA from 1 species
UACAGAGGGUGCAAGCGUUAAUCGGAAUUACUGGGCGUAAAGCGUGCGUAGACGGUUAUGUAAGUCGGGUGUGAAAGCCCCGGGCUCAACCUGGGAAUUGCAUUCGAGACUGCAUAGCUAGGGUGCGGAAGAGGGAAGCGGAAUUUCCGGUGUAGCGGUGAAAUGCGUAGAGAUCGGGAGGAAGGCCGGUGGCGAAGGCGGCGCUCUGGAACGUUUCUGACACUGAGGCUCGAAAGCGUGGGGAGCAAACAGG